GAUCAUGGCUCAGGAUGAACGCUGGCGGCGUGCUUAACACAUGCAAGUCGAAUGAAGCACUUUAUUUGAUUUCCUUCGGGACUGAUUAUUUUGUUGACUGAGUGGCGGACGGGUGAGUAACGCGUGGGUAACCUGCCUUGUACGGGGGGAUAACAGUUGGAAACGGCUGCUAAUACCGCAUAAGCGCACAGCAUCGCAUGAUGCAGUGUGAAAAACUCCGGUGGUAUAAGAUGG
rnacentral:rRNA from 1 species